rnacentral:lncRNA from 1 species
GGGCAGGCUAGGGGAUUUGUGUUUGAAGCUAUUUUUGGAAGGCAGCCUUACUGUUUUUACUUACGUGGUAUUUUGCAAAUUAAUAAAAAUAGCAAACUUUUCUAGAAAUGCUUUAUUCACAUUUUACCGGAGAAUGGGAAACCAUCCAUUGUCCGUUCAAAAGGCUAUUUUUUUAAAGUUUGGGAUGGCUUGGGGAGGCCAAUGGCAAUUUGGGGAGAAGGGCUGAAGCACCCCUUUUUGGAGCUCGGGGCCAGUUUCCCGGACUAAAAGACCCUGGUGACUGGGGAUGGGCCUCACAACUAACUCGGGCUGCCCUGCCCCUGUCGCGUGGGCUCGCAAUGGCAAGUGCUCCGGAAGGGGGCCGCCUCCCCGUGGGGCUCCUGGCUGCCUCUGCUCCCUUGGACACCACUGGGGGGCCUCCCCCUCCUAAGUUCUAGGUUGAGGCCGGAUACCUGCCCCGACCUGUCUCCUCCCUUUCUCCAAUACCACACCCACGGGACUCCAGUCUCCCCGGGAGUGGGACGGAGAGGGAACAAAGGGGUCUUUGUUCACUGGCUCCCGGGGCGUGGGAGUUGCGCUCGCUCUCCUUUCCCGGCGUCCCGUGGAGACCGGGAGGCUCAGCGCCUCUCCCAGCUCUCAGCGCCGCCCUCCCAGACCCCAGAGACGUCGGUCAGGGCGCGGCGCCCCGGGCCACUGCGGGCUCUUUCCGGGCGGGCGACGUGGGGGGCGAGGCAC